ensembl:lncRNA
CAGUACCAGGUCCGAUCGGGGGGCCGGGUUCGAACGGUACUGGGUUCAGACGGGCUGGCUGGGUCCAUAUGCUGAUGUGUUGGGUCGGCCGGCCUCGGGGUCGGGCUCGUGGGUGGAGUUCGGAUGGACGGUACCGGGUCCUCCGGGCGGGCCGGGUUCGGCCAGACGUGCUGGGCUGUCGAGGCCCCGUGGCCAGGACGCGCGGAGCCCCUCUGCGCGCUGACCACACGGGCCCCGCAGCGCCCGACCAGGCCAGCCCCGGGGUGACCCUGUCCGCCCCGCCCGGGGCUGGGCCCCCUCGUCCGUGUUUGUCCCGCUGUGUCCGGGUCACGUGUGGACCGGAACACCCGUCCUCUCCUAGCACAGGCUUCCAGUUACGGGGCGGGGGGUCCCCCGAGGUGCCCCCGCGGGGGGAUGCUGCCGGUCCACUGCGCGGGCGCCUCUCAGGCUCCCGGUGUCCGCGCAGACCCCACAUUCAUUUCAGUAGCAAGCUUUGUCCAUUUUAGGAAUGUUUAUUUCAUUAGGGGUUUUUUAAUUGCCUCUUCCUCGUGCCCCCCCCCCUUAAAAAAAAAAAACAAAACUGGCUGCAGAACACCUGUCAGCAGACAGAUCUCCGUGCUGCGCUCGGCCAGCGUGGAGACGGUUCUCCUCUCCACCAAUUGGAUUUCUUCUUUUCUGGGAAAGAUGAGAAUUCUAUCAUCCCUGCUGGGUUUUGUCUUCAGCCCUCUUUUCUGCAGCACUGGUACAGUUCAGCUUCAUAAGGAGGCUUUUCAGCAGAGAAGCCUGCGGUGUUGAACCAGUGCCACGGGGGGAUGAAUUCUUCAAUACAUCUCUGGCCUCCUUUCUCGAAAUUAAAGUGUGGUGACUUGCAGGAAAGCAUAUGCGUAUAAACAGCACAUCCCUGUUCCGACAUUCUGCUCCUUUAUGCCUGUUAGUUCCUGUGCUUCUUGAUAGACUCAAGUCGUUUUCUGUUUUGAGAUUUUGUUUUUUUGUUUGUUUGUUGUGGUGAACAUCACAGUAUCCAUCCAGUUCAGAGCUGUCCAGCUAGGUUGCACGCAUGCCAUGUGGGUCAUCAGCUAUAUUGUCAGCUGAAUUCUAACAGUAAGAGCUUUAUUCCUGA